rnacentral:tRNA from 1 species
GACCCCGUAGCUCAGUCGGAUAGAGCAGCGGUUUCCUAAACCGCAGGUCGGAGGUUCGAAUCCUCUCGGGGUCG